CCUACGGGAGGCAGCAGUUUCGAAUCAUUCACAAUGGGCGAAAGCCUGAUGGUGCGACGCCGCGUGAGGGAUGAAGGUCUUCGGAUUGUAAACCUCUGUCACCGGGGAAGAAACGCUUCAAGUUAAUAGCUUGAAGCCUGACUUAACCCGGAGAGGAAGCAGUGGCUAACUCUGUGCCAGCAGCCGCGGUAAUACAGAGACUGCAAGCGUUAUUCGGAUUCACUGGGCGUAAAGGGUGCGCAGGCGGCCAAGUGUGUGAGGCGUGAAAGCCCGAGGCUCAACCUCGGAAUUGCACCUCAAACUACAUGGCUAGAGCAUUGGAGAGGGUAGCAGAAUUCAUGGUGUAGCAGUGAAAUGCGUAGAUAUCAUGAGGAAUACCAGAGGCGAAGGCGGCUACCUGGACAAUUGCUGACGCUCAGGCACGAAAGCGUGGGGAGCAAAAGGGAUUAGAUACCCCUGUAGUCCACGCCCUAAACGGUGCAUACUAGGUCUUGGCGGAUUCGACCCCACCAGGGCCCAAGCUAACGCGAUAAGUAUGCCGCCCUGAGGACGUACGGCCGCGAGGCGUAAAACGUACAAAUUGAAUUGACGG
rnacentral:rRNA from 1 species